CCUACGGGAGGCAGCAGUGGGGAAUAUUGCACAAUGGGGGAAACCCUGAUGCAGCGACGCCGCGUGAGUGAAGAAGUAUUUCGGUAUGUAAAGCUCUAUCAGCAGGGAAGAAAAUGACGGUACUUGAGUAAGAAGCCCCGGCUAACUACGUGCCAGCAGCCGCGGUAAUACGUAGGGGGCAAGCUUUAUCCGGAUUUACUGGGUGUAAAGGGAGCGUAGACGGCAGUGCAAGUCUGGAGUGAAAGGCGGGGGCUCAAACCCCGGACUGCUCUGGAAACUGUACGGCUGGAGUGCAGGAGAGGUAAGUGGAAUUCCUGGUGUAGCGGUGAAAUGCGUAGAUAUUAGGAGGAACACCAGUGGCGAAGGCGGGUUACUGGACUGUAACUGACGUUGAGGCUCGAAGGCGUGGGGAGCGAACAGGAUUAGAUACCCUAGUAGUC
rnacentral:rRNA from 1 species